GGCGUGGGGGGAGAGAACUUGCGUGAGGAGGAGAAACCAAAUUUCCUAGUUGGCGUGGACGUGGGAUUUUUCUGUUUUUGCACCUUCCAAGCGAGAAAGGUGAAAUGUGAAAUGAAUCCACGGCAGCCCCUCUCCCCGCGACAAGCGAGGAUUACUUUUUCACUGGAUACAUGAGGAGAAUUGAAGCAGGACUGUUAUGAGGAGAAGUAUAAAGAGAUAUCUAAGCUGCAGAAGUGCUGCCACAUAUAAAGACCUUCUACAAUGUGGACUGUGAGCACCUCAAAGGGCCCCCCCUGAUGGCGCAGCGGUAGCUGCCCGUAGCCUCUGCAGCACCAGUUCGAUCCCCGGCCACCAGCGAGGGUCCCACAUGGCGGGACAGACCUCUCCUGCCUCGCCCGCUGCUCCCCUCAGCAGUGUAUUUCGUCAGUCUGCCUGUUCUGUUUCCCACUCUGGCUCUGGUGAAUUCUCUCACUCUCCCGCACUUCUGACU